CCAAUAGCGUAUAUUAAAGUUGUUGCAGUUAAAAAGCUCGUAGUUGAACUUCGGGAUUUGCCCAUUGGUCAGGCUUAACUGUCUGCACUGGUGUGACGAGUUCCUACCUUCUGAGGAAUCUCCAUGUCAUUCAGUUGGUGUGGGGGGAAAUCAGGACUGUUACUUUGAAAAAAUUAGAGUGUUUAAAGCAGGCGUCCGUCUGAAUACAUUAGCAUGGAAUAAUAAAAUAGGACGGUUUGGUUCUAUUUUGUUGGUUUCUAGGAUCACCGUAAUGAUUAAUAGGGAUAGUUGGGGGCAUUAGUAUUCAAUUGUCAGAGGUGAAAUUCUUGGAUUUAUUGAAGACUAACUACUGCGAAAGCAUUUGCCAAGGAUGUUUUCAUUAAUCAAGAACGAAAGUUAGGGGAUCGAAGACGAUCAGAUACCGUCGUAGUCUUAACCAUAAACUAUGCCGACUAGGGAUCGGACGAAGUUAAUUUUUUAAUGACUCGUUCGGCACCUUACG
rnacentral:rRNA from 1 species